CUUUGGUCAGACAGAGAGACAGGUGGUGCAUGGUUGUCGUCAGCUCGUGUCGUGAGAUGUUGGGUUAAGUCCCGCAACGAGCGCAACCCCUACGUCUAGUUGCUAACGUGUAAAGAUGAGCACUCUAGACGGACUGCCGUUGACAAACGGAGGAAGGUGGGGAUGACGUCAAAUCAUCAUGCCCCUUAUGUCCUGGGCUACACACGUGCUACAAUGGCCGGUACAAAGGGAAGCGAAGCCGCGAGGCGGAGCAAAUCCGAUAAAAGCCGGUCUCAGUUCGGAUUGCAGGCUGCAAUUCGCCUGCACGAAGUCGGAAUCGCUAGUAAUCGUAGAUCAGAAUGCUACGGUGAAUACGUUCCCGGGCCUU
rnacentral:rRNA from 1 species